GGUGAAAAUAUAGGAGAUGACGAUCCAUUCCUGGGUGGACGGCCAGCGUUCCAUCUUCACUAACACGAUAUAGUUGAAGAGCAUCAGGCCCAGUGACAUGCACAUUCUUCCAGAACCUCUGCAUUUUAGUACCCACUUCACACUUUGAAUUUGAAUCCUCUCCAGCCAGAUACCUGAAAUAGGCUCCCAACACAAGCAGGGUCGAGGAGCCAGCUGGACCCCUGCCUGCUUUCUUCUCGGACCAGAAGAGGACCCAACCUACUCCUAGAGAAACUUGCUACAAUGCAGAAGUGAGGUUACAUGGAAAUGAGGUGUGUCCUACCUUUCAGAAACUUGGGAGAGUAGGACAGACCAUUUUUGGAAAUCUGGUGAGAAAUACUCUUACAGAGAAAAACACAGCCCAAAGUACCUGGGACCUUCAAUCUGAAACUGAAUUGUAUUGUUAGGCAUCUCUGGUGAUUCAAAAGACUGGCAUACCUCAUAUCCGAUCACUUCCUCGAGGCCUGGGCUUUGUCAAUACGUGACGAUGAAUUUUGGAGAAUCAUGAAAACACAACUGAACGAAUCUGGGGGAUCCAGUCUGAUGGAUUUGCUGAGGCCAAGUCAGCCAUGCAGAAGAGUGCUGGACACACAGGCCCCACCCCCCAAAGAGAUAGCCUCCCAACAAGCUGCCAAUGACAUAAGCAAAGCAGCGUGUCUCAAGCAUCUCUAAUCACAAGUUUCGCCUGGGAAGCUGGUUAAACUAACACAGCCUCUUAGGCUCCUUUAUGAAGAUUUGAUUCCAUGGGUCUAUGAUGGGGCUAGAAAUUUGCAUUUCUAACAAAACGCCCUUGUCAUCAUGGAAGUUUUAGAAAUGUUGAUACUAUUACGUCUACUGAUUUCUGCUCUCAGCAGUCUGUAAACUUUUUCUGCAAAUGGCCAACUGGUUAACUUUUAAGGCUUUGUAGACCUGAUAGUCUCUCUCUGUCUCUCACCACUCAUUAACUCGAUGUGGUAGCACAAAAGCAGGCAGCCUACUGGUAAUGUUAACUGAGGUUUAGCCUAAAGCUGCCUCCUUACAUAUUUUAAGUUCAGCCUAAAGUUUUCUCUGUACGUUGUGAACUAUAACAAAUGAAGGUGUAACAAGACCAAUCACUGAAUUUCAGUCAAUCAAAUGUAGCCAACUGCUCAAAAUGUGUUCACAAAAGGCAAAUGCUGAGCUGUAACCAAUCCAGCUGUUUGUGUAUGUCACUUCCAUUUUCGUAUGCCACUUCCCUUUUUCUGUCCAUAAAUCUUCCACCACGUGGCCCUGCUGGAAUCCCUGAGCCUCCUCUGGCUUGGAAGGCUGUCCCAUU